GUGUUCAUUUUGGCAGCAUGUAUCCUGACAUUGCAGGGUGCAGAGGAGAUUAGCAUGGCCCCUGCACAAAGGUGAUAUGCAAAUUUGCAAAUCAUGCCCCAAUGUA
rnacentral:snRNA from 1 species